ACUUUAAAUUAGCAAAUAAUAGCAAAUACCAAAGUACAUUUGCCACUUGCAACAAAUCUUGCCAGAGGCAGCAAAGAAACUAGAGAGUAUUGAGGGACUGAUCUGAGGCAGAUGUCAUCAAAACUAAGUCGGAUUAAGAGGCCUCUGGGUCAAUGGAAAUGAAAUCUUUUAACACAUUAUUCCAGCACACAUGGACAACAUGGGUAGAAAUAAAAUAUCACCAGUGGAAAGAGAUGAAAGCAAAACUAAGUAAUACUGACCUUACCCUUUCUACUGGUUUGACUUUAGGAAGUGAAUGGCAUGUGAAAAUGGUAACCACAUAACCACACAAUACAAAUGACACAAAAAUAAGAUUAACAUCUCUAAUGGCUAGCCAGGUCUCCAGAGUCUAAUCACCAAGUGGCCAGCCUCUCAGUGAUAUCUCUCUUUUUAAUUAGCUAGAACAGUUCUCAGAAAACAUUUAGUCCAAACUGGCUCCAGAGUUGAAAAAAGGGAUUGCUUUUGGAAAAUAGUAAACUGCUUUACCUAUUCCCAAGAUCCCCACAAAAGCAAACAUCUUUUCAAUGGUAACAUUUCAGGGCUGCUGUACAGUGCCAAGACCCGGAACACCCUUUCUUGUGAAGAACUAAAGAGGGACAUCCUACAGAGUAUAGUGGAGUGGUGCAUGAUUUCCUCAACAGUCUUCAGCACAACAGAAGAGAAAAGAUUAUUAAAGAAAACACCAGUUCCUGAAGAACAUGAUGCUUACAAUGAUUCAGUCUGAAGUUUUCCUACUCAAGCAGAUCCUAUACCAAAGAAAAAAAGUAGAGAAAAACACAUCGCAGUGCUUUUAUUUGCAGAAAAUAUUUAUUUCAACAUUUACAGGACAUCAGAGCAGGUUUCUUUGAUGAUUUCCUGAAAGAUAAUGUCUAUAUGAAUGUUAUGGAAUAUUAUUGUUCUGUAAGAAAUGACCAGCAGGAUGAAUACAGAGAGGCUUGGAGAGACCUACAUGAACUGAUGCUAAGUGAAAUGAGCAGAACCAGGAGAUCAUUAUACACUUCGACAACGAUAUUGUAUGAGGACAUAUUUUGAUGGAAGUGGAUUUCUUUGACAAAGAGACCUGAGUUUCAAUUGAUAAAUGACGGACAAAAGCAGCUACACCCAAAGAAAGAACACUGGGAAACGAAUGUGAACUAUCUGCAUUUUUGUUUUUCUUCCCGGAUUAUUUAUACCUUCUGAAUCCAAUUCUCCCUACGCAACAAGAGAACUGUUCGGUUCUGCAAACAUAUAUUGUAUCUAGGAUAUACUGCAACAUAUCCAACAUAUAAAGGACUGCUUGCCAUCUAGGGGAGGGGGUGGAGGGAGGGAGGGGAAAAAAAAAUCGGAACAGAAAUGAGUGUCAAUAUAAUGUAAUUAUUAAAUAAAAAAUUUAAAAAAAAAAAAAAGAAAUCUAAGUAUGGCAUAAUAGGAAGAAAAAUCAUUGAUAUACCAGCCUGAAGACUUUUGAAGCCCUUGCUCUUUUACUAAAUAUAGGAAUUUGUACAAACCUUUUUACUUCACUGGACAUCCAUUUCUUUAUUUGUAAAAUUAAAGACAAAUCAUGUCUAAAAAAAAAAAAAAAAGAUAA